rnacentral:rRNA from 1 species
UACGAAGGGGGCUAGCGUUGCUCGGAAUCACUGGGCGUAAAGGGUGCGUAGGCGGGUCUUUAAGUCUGGGGUGAAAUCUCCGAGCUCAACUCGGAAACUGCCUUGGAUACUAUUAGUCUUGAAUUAUGUUGAGGUUGGCGGAAUAUAACAUGUAGCGGUGAAAUGCAUAGAUAUGUUAUAGAACACCGAUUGCGAAGGCAGCUAACUAAGCAUAUAUUGACGCUGAGGCACGAAAGCGUGGGGAUCAAACAGG